CUACGUGCCAGCAGCCGCGGUAAUACGUAUGUCACAAGCGUUAUCCGGAUUUAUUGGGCGUAAAGCGCGUCUAGGUGGUUAUGUAAGUCUGAUGUGAAAAUGCAGGGCUCAACUCUGUAUUGCGUUGGAAACUGUAUAACUAGAGUACUGGAGAGGUAAGCGGAACUACAAGUGUAGAGGUGAAAUUCGUAGAUAUUUGUAGGAAUGCCGAUGGGGAAGCCAGCUUACUGGACAGAUACUGACGCUGAAGCGCGAAAGCGUGGGUAGCAAACAGGAUUAGAUACCCUGGUAGUCCACGCUGUAAACGAUGAUUACUAGGUGUUGGGGGUCGAACCUCAGCGCCCAAGCUAACGCGAUAAGUAAUCCGCCUGGGGAGUACGUACGCAAGUAUGAAACUCAAAGGAAUUGACGGGGACCCGCACAAGCGGUGGAGCAUGUGGUUUAAUUCGACGCAACGCGAGGAACCUUACCAGCGUUUGACAUC
rnacentral:rRNA from 1 species